rnacentral:lncRNA from 1 species
AUUUCGUUCUUCUUGAUCUAUAAUAGAAAAUUUAACUUAUUUAAUAUUCACAUUUAUUAAAACAGUCCUUGACCCAAACUUUUGCAAAAUUAUAUUUUUACCCCUAAACUUUCACAUAUUUUCACUUUUGCCCCAAGGCUCGUAAAUUAAACUUCAUCCUAUUUUCUUAUGUUUUAUAACAUGCUGAUCAUUUUUCUUUUCUAUGGCAAUAUCAAAAUCACACUCUAACAUAUACUUAUGACUAUUGGUAUUUUUUUUCCAAUUUAAGCCCUUUUACUCGUUUUCACUUAAAACCGAGUAGCAUAAGUUGUUUAACAUAAUUUAAAACCUCAUAUUCUAUCAUAAAACACCAAAAUACACAAAUUUCAGCCAUGGGUAUUUUUCCAAAUAUGAACCCUAGGCUGAAUUAUUGCUAGAAUAAGCUUAAUCAAGUUACCGGGACUCCAAAAACGUAAAGAUCAUUAAAAACGGGGCUUGGAAUCACUUACUAUGAAGCUUGAAAGUUGAAGAAACCCCAGCUAUGGAGGAGAGCAAAAAUCGGCAGAAACUAAUUGAGAAG